rnacentral:lncRNA from 1 species
GCAGGCGCAGGCGCAGACGUGGCUCCACAUAAAUUUUUCCUUGGGCUGGUUUCCUGCAUGUCUUUUAAGUAUUUGCUUUUAGUUUCCGUGUUUUGGUGUUUUGUUUGUUCGUUUUUUUUUUUUUUUUGUUUUUACGACAAUGCCUUCUAGGGGAACAGUGUCGCUGGGCUGGGCGGUGGAGAGACACCUUUGGCACCAUCGUGCGAUCUCAUGCACCCUACCAGUGAUCAACCCUUUGAGUCUGGCUUAGCUCAGGCAGAAAUUGUAGUCUGCAAAAGAAACUGAGAAGAAGAGGGCAAGGAGAGUGUGGCAUCCCAAGACAUAAAGACUCAAAUCAAUGAGAGCAAGCAACUCUGUCAAAUUUCACCAGAAGUGAGGACUAAAUAUUGACUACCGAAUUUUGCAAGGUCCUUGUAAUAAAUGAUGAGAUGGAUUGACAACUGGAAUUAUCCCUAUUAUGGGUUGAAUGAUGCACUCCCAAAAGCUAUACUGAAGUCCUAAUCCUCAAUAUCUCAGAAUGAGAAGUUACUUGGAAAUAGAGUGGUUGCAGAUGUAAUUAGUCAAGAUGAGGUUACACUGGAGUAAGGUGAACCCUUAAUUCAAUAUGAGUGGCGCCCUUUUAAGAAGAGGACACAGAGACACACAGGAGAAUGCCAUGUGAUGACAGACAGAGCUUGGCAUGAUGCAGCUACAAGCCAAGGAACACGAAGGGUUGACAGCCAACACUAAAAGCUAGGAAGAGGCAAGGAAGGAUUCUUCUCUACAGAUUUUAGAGGGAGCAUGGCCCUCUUGACACUUUUGUAUUGGACUUCCAUCUUCUAAAACUGAAAGAAUGAAUUUCUAUCGUUUUAAGCCACCUAGUUGGUAGUAUAUUGUUCUGGAUGCCUCAGAAAACUAAUAAAAUCCCCUAUUUCUGGUCAGUAUGCUGAGGUUUGAAAAAGUUUAAUUGGCAAAUGUUAAUUGCCAAGAGCCUACUAUGUGCUGGGUGGUCUUCUAGGCCUUGGGUAUUCAGUUCUAAACCAAACAAAGUUAAAAUUGUACUCCGGGGCACAUGGCUUUUUAGAGACAAGUAAUAUGAAACCCCAGUCUCUAGGCUUCCAGAUCAGCAUUUCAGUUUUGGUUUAUUUCAAUUAUGUCCUCUCUAAGUAAGGAGUGACUCUAAUAUUGACAGUGCUUAUACUGACCAUGAAUGUGCCUGAGUCACAGACAUCUCAGUGAACUCCUUACUAAUGAACUUAUAUUUCCCCACAGAUACCUUACAUGUAUCAUUACAGCCUUUCUAGGCCUAAGAAUGGACACCCUUUCUCUUUUCCUUGACCCAGAAUUUGGGUUACAAAUAAUCCAAUGGGAGAGCAGCUAUUGAUGAUGGGGCAUUUCGGAACAGAGGGAGGAAAAGGGGAAUUCCAGAUUGCUACAAGAUUUCUAAUUGUGGGAUGGGUAUUUAAAGCCCUGUGAAAGGUUGGAAGUCACUGGCUAAGGAACUUCUGCAGAAUAGUCUCUUUGGAGCACCUGAACUUACUCUUCCAGGUAUGGGGAAGAACAGAUAAGGGCAGAGUGUGACCUGACUGCACCCCUCCACUACCCUGUCCCCUGAAAAACUACAGAGAUCAAAAUUUGGCCCCUCAGUUCCCUGGCGAUAAGGGCUAAAGGACUUGGUUCUUUCAUCACUUAAGGUAAAGAAAAAGUAAAAUAAGUGUGUACAGGAACCCUACUCCAUAAAUAAAACCAUCUAUAACAAUAGCCUUGAAAGACUUAUUUCAAGACCUUCUCCCUCCCUCCCACCUUGACAUUUUAAUGGGGCCGGCAGUUUGAGCUUCAUUGUAAUGGAAACCAGAAGACAAUCUUCAAAAGUGAAAGGCUACAAUGGAGGUCCCAGCAGCCUUUGUGUCUGAAUUUAUCAGCUUUGUC